ACGGCAUACCUAUCCCUCUCCCAUAUAUUUGGGUGAAAAUUUUUCUCCAAAGGGCUAAAAUGAUUACCACACUAUCUUAGCUAGGGUUCACGAACUUCUAUUGGGGUUUUCCUUCGUAGAGAUCAUAUAUAAGCACCUUAGAGAGUCGAGACCCUAAUCCUCCCACAAUUACAAAUUUACCCAUGUUCAUAUAAUGGACUCAAAACUUUUUUCAAAUAUAUACAAGCGCAAUAAUAAGUGUAUAUACUUUUUUUUUUGCUAACAAAGAUUUCCUAACCUUUGCGAUGACUAUUCCCCUAGUCCAGCCAACCCCAAAGGGGUUCUUAAGUCGUCCCAAAUUAAUUCGGCUGUGAAUGGCCCCAACGGCGCUGUCAAUGUGAUUUGAACAUAGAUAAGACAUCUCAUAAGGCAUUUUACCCAUGACAAUUCACUAGUGGACCAAUCCCCUGAGGUAGACACAAAACACAACUCUUUUUACCGUUAGUGAAGAGAAACUUGGUUCAUUGUAGUUAAUAAAAUCAUAUGGACUGACAUGUAGGAGUGUGAAAAUUGUCUGCAGCAGCUGCAGCACUAGUGCAAUGAGCAUCGGGUGACUGAGAGCUCCUUUGGGCGUGUGCCUAAUGCUCUCAGUUGUUCGAUGGUCACUGCACCUCAUCACUUGCUGAAGAGGAUGUAAACUCCAUAUAAGACAAACCAGAGGGGUGUACCUGGGAAAAAAAACAAUAUUUGAUACAACCAAUAUCGAAAGAAAAUCCUAAUUUUGCUGGUGAGAGAAAUAGGGAGAAAAGUUGAGUGGCAUGCAGGGUUGGCCAUUGUUCUAGUUUGGAGCAAAGAAGGCCAACCCAUAAUCCCAGAUGGGCUUCUGUGCAGUACUGGAGGGCUUUUAACCUCAUCUAUUUCUCAUCCUAAGUAAUCUCUGCUACGCAGUUCUUCUUGUUCUCCUGCAAUCCAUCAUCUCCAGUGGUGUCAGUGGCCCUGUUUUUGUGGUCUACGAGCACAUUAUCUCUACUAUCCUCCUCUCCCUUCUCGCUUAUUUCUUAGAAAGGGGCAGAAGACCUCCACUCACAGUCAAAAUAUUCUUCUGGGCGCUCUUGUUGGGUUUCAUCCUGUCCAUGUCUGUGACGCUAUUGACAUCAAGUCUACGCUACUUUGAAGCAACAUCCCAAACCGUAGUGCUUAACACCAGUACGCCCUUAACCUUCAUUAUCGCAGUGAUUUUCCGGAGAGAAACUUUCAGGUUCACCACGAUUGAGGGUCAAGCAAAGGUAUGGGGAGUGAUCUUAUCCACCAUUGGCACAACUGUGAUGGUUGUUUGGAAAGACCCACAACUCAUCAACGUACGUUUAGUGUUCAAUGACUCAGCACUGGUUGAUUUAAAGGAGCUCAUUGGGUACCUCAUGCUGGUUAUUGCAAUUUUGGGUGCAGCUGGAUCAAGUCUAUUAUUGGUAUGUAUUUCUGAAAUAUAAAACUAGAAAGUAUUUUUUAGUUUUUUUUUUUUACCCUUGAUCUGUACCAUUCAACCGAUAGGUAUUGAGAACAUGCAAAAACCGAUUUGCGGAAAAGGCAUCGCAUGAAAAGUGCCCCAUAUUUUCUUCGAUCUCGAGAUUGGGCUACUUAACUU